rnacentral:sRNA from 1 species
CACACGCGGGACGCUAAGCGUCACACAGGCCCUAUAACCUGUGCGCUCGCUCCGGUGAUUGGCUCCGGCCAGUCUCUUGUCCCGCGGCGGCAAAACCGGAAAAAGGAGUUCG